GUGAGAUUGAUGGGUUAUGCAGUGGAUAGUUAGGGGCUCUCAUCUUCUAUGCAGUCCCUUCAUAUUACUACCUUUAAGUAUUCUGGCUCCCACAAGAAAGCCCAAAAAGAAGUUAGUCCGCUGUAAGGAUGACACCAUGGUAAGUAAAGUUGUAAUUUAGUAGAACAUUACUUCAUUCAUAUCCAGUAUACUCAUAUGAUAUGCAGAGAUUUUUUGAGACCAGCCAUGACUUCCCCAGCUUGGAGCUUCUAGAUGAUGGGGAAUAUAGGCAUAUCCUAGAUUUUCUAGGAUAAAAAGUUGAUUGGUGUGUAGUCCUUAUUUAUAAAAUUUUGAUAUCUUUGAACUGAUUCUCUUUGACUUUGAUACUAAUUUCACCAUCUAGAUUAUUGGUUUGGAGUGAUGGCAUCAUGUCAUCAACUGGGUAUAGGUUCAUAACAUCCUGUUCGGUAAUUUAAUCAACGACAAUGUAAGUAUUAUGUGCUAAGUUGAAUAAAUCAAAGAUAUAUGUAAGUUAAUUUCUAUUUUUUGUAAUGGACUAUGCAUGUUAUAGAUGUUUUUUGAUCCCUCCUGCAGUAGCAUGUAUUGAUCGAUCCAUCAAUGCAUUUGGAGUCUAGCUUUAUGUUGCAACCCUUCUUUAUAGUAAUUAUUUUGCAUUCUUCAUGUAAUAUCAUGUUUCGGUCUAGCUUUGUAUACUAUAACAUAUGUUUUAUUUUUUUUUUCUCUUUUAGAGAUAUUGAUGGGCACAUAGAAGGUUUCCAAUAAAGCUAUAUGAGACUUAUGCCUCAUUUAUUGGUUGAAGUCAAGCAAAUGUUCAUGCCCAAAUGCUCAUCAACACACAAGCAUCUGCUUUUCAUAGAUAUAGAGGGCAUUUAUUUUAGAUACUAUACAUAUGUGAGUGGUACAGAGUAUAGAAUAGGCUUCAACAGAUUUGUGAGCAAUGACCAUAUUCAUAGAAUGUUCUGCAUACUCAUGCAUUACUAACAAUAUGGCUAAUUUUUAAUCUUAUGUUUGCAAAUGACUUAGUUGACUGAGAUGGCACGAGAUGUCUACCCUAUUGAUAUGGAUUGUUGGCUACUCUAUUUUGUUAACUGCCUAUAGUAGGGUGCCGAGUAAUUGUUAUAAUAAUUUGAUUUAUUGGUAACUUUACAUAAUAUACGUAAGAGGCAUGAUACAUGUAAACGGCAUGCUUUUUUUUUGAAAUAAUGGAAUAUGCCAAAUUAUGUAAUUACAAGUGCUAACUAAGCUAUUUCAUGCCAAGUGGUAUUUCAUUUGGAAUUAUAUCCAUACCAACUAAUGCACCAUGCCAAUUAAUGGUACAUGCCAAAAAUAGCUUGUGCUAACUACUGCACCAUGCCAAAUAAUGCAUUAUGUCCCUUAUGUUAUUAGAAAAAAUUAUGUUUCCAAUUUACAGUCCCAUAUGUGCCAACACACAUCUGUGCUAACUAAUGCAGCAUAUGAUUUGUUUUUUUUUUUAUUAACUAUGAGCAUGAACUAUCUUAUAUGCUUGAUUAUGCCAACUAUGUCAUGCAUUUUAUAAAGAGUAUAGUGACGGGGGCCUAGAUCACAAUUAUGGAUGAUCGUAUAUCAGAGUUGCAUGCCAGA
rnacentral:lncRNA from 1 species